GGGUUGUGAGGUUAAGCGACUAAGCGUACACGGUGGAUGCCCUGGCAGUCAGAGGCGAUGAAGGACGUGCUAAUCUGCGAUAAGCGUCGGUAAGGUGAUAUGAACCGUUAUAACCGGCGAUUUCCGAAUGGGGAAACCCAGUGUGAUUCGUCACACUAUCAUUAACUGAAUCCAUAGGUUAAUGAGGCGAACCGGGGGAACUGAAACAUCUAAGUACCCCGAGGAAAAGAAAUCAACCGAGAUUCCCCCAGUAGCGGCGAGCGAACGGGGAGCAGCCCAGAGCCUGAAUCAGUGUGUGUGUUAGUGGAAGCGUCUGGAAAGGCGUGCGAUACAGGGUGACAGCCCCGUACACAAAAAUGCACAUGCUGUGAGCUCGAUGAGUAGGGCGGGACACGUGGUAUCCUGUCUGAAUAUGGGGGGACCAUCCUCCAAGGCUAAAUACUCCUGACUGACCGAUAGUGAACCAGUACCGUGAGGGAAAGGCGAAAAGAACCCCGGCGAGGGGAGUGAAAAAGAACCUGAAACCGUGUACGUACAAGCAGUGGGAGCACAGAGCAAUCUGUGUGACUGCGUACCUUUUGUAUAAUGGGUCAGCGACUUAUAUUCUGUAGCAAGGUUAACCGAAUAGGGGAGCCGAAGGGAAACCGAGUCUUAACUGGGCGUUAAGUUGCAGGGUAUAGACCCGAAACCCGGUGAUCUAGCCAUGGGCAGGUUGAAGGUUGGGUAACACUAACUGGAGGACCGAACCGACUAAUGUUGAAAAAUUAGCGGAUGACUUGUGGCUGGGGGUGAAAGGCCAAUCAAACCGGGAGAUAGCUGGUUCUCCCCGAAAGCUAUUUAGGUAGCGCCUCGUGAAUUCAUCUCCGGGGGUAGAGCACUGUUUCGGCAAGGGGGUCAUCCCGACUUACCAACCCGAUGCAAACUGCGAAUACCGGAGAAUGUUAUCACGGGAGACACACGGCGGGUGCUAACGUCCGUCGUGAAGAGGGAAACAACCCAGACCGCCAGCUAAGGUCCCAAAGUCAUGGUUAAGUGGGAAACGAUGUGGGAAGGCCCAGACAGCCAGGAUGUUGGCUUAGAAGCAGCCAUCAUUUAAAGAAAGCGUAAUAGCUCACUGGUCGAGUCGGCCUGCGCGGAAGAUGUAACGGGGCUAAACCAUGCACCGAAGCUGCGGCAGCGAC
rnacentral:rRNA from 1 species